AGCUGCAGAUGUCAUGGGAACUGACAUUGCUUCCCUGCUAAUGAGCUUUCCUUACACUAGAAGUCAAGUUGACCUUUGCAGGAGUCUCUGCUGGGAUACAAGGGAAGCCCUUCAGUAUCCCCUUCAUCCAAAGCCAGAGAUCUCUCCCUGAUUGAUUGAACAUUCUCCAGUUCUUUGCCUGUGUAGAACUGAAUCUUUAUCUCCUACUGAAAUUUUAUGUACACAAGCCACAAGACAUUAUAGUCUUAAUGAUGACUGAGAAGGACACUUGUUGAACAACUUCCUGGUAAAGUGUCUACAGGAAACAGGUCAGAAGAAGCUCCAUAAACCUGAGAGCAAAGUAGCACCUUAAAUUCCAGUGAACGUCUUUUUCUGGGAACAGAAGAAUCAGAUCCUAAACUUACAAAAAUGCUGAAAAUGAUGCUUUAGAGCAGGGAAUCGCUUGACUUGGUUGAAAAAAAUUACCACUUCACUUCAUGACUGUUAUCAAAUAUUGUGAGUGUCUCCUGUCCUUUGUCAUUUGGAAAGAGUCACCAGCUAGCUAUUCUUUAUUGAUUAAGCACUUUCAGAUGCUAAAAGCAAAGAAAAUGGAGAGCGAAGUUAGAAAUGAACAUGUUUGAUCCUAAAUAUAGAAUUGUGUUUGCCUGUUCCAAUCUCAGAAUUCUAAUCCUUAUCUGGCUAAUCUCACAACAAAUAAAUGACACCUGUGUCCGUUGGUGUAUUUUAAUAGAUGCACAUAAAUGAUUUUGGUGACUUAUUAGAACUCAUGUAGUAUAUAUGAAGUCCAGCUAUUAAUAUUUUCUUCUCUGUCUUGCUAUUCUUAUUUGGAAGGUUUGUUUGUUUGAGUGGAAGUGAACCAUCCCAAUUUAAAUGAGACAAAAAAAUUUUUUAAAUAAACUCCUGUAACAGAAUAUGUUUGGGAGUUGUAAAAGUUUUUCCAUUGAAAAAAAUCAGAAUUGAGGAGGAUCCUGUUACAUGGUGGGGGCAGACAUCAGAGUCAGCAAAGCUUGCAAAACAGAUUUUUUUUUCUUUUAGCACUUUGAUGGGAGAAGCACUUCAUUUUUAAAAAUUUUAUAAUUAAUUUAAUUUUACAUAUCAGCCAUGUAUUCC